CGCAUCUCGUAAGAAAACUAUUUAACCCAGCAAAAGCGACUAACGCUCUUUUCCUUCGUGUUCUCAUAAAAAAAGUGAUUCCCCUCGUGCGCCACUCGAUUCACCUCCAGCAUACAUCCGGUCUCCUCCCCUUCCUGCUCAGAGGAUGGUAAUCGCAAGUCAACCAUCUAAUAAGUUGCAAAAAGCCGAGCAAGGCCGACAAGGAGGUGGAGGAAGGGAGAAUAGUGAGGCGUUGAGUGGGGAUACUGUUGUGAGAAGCGAAGCUGUUUUAGCGGUAUCUCAUUCUAGCAUGGACAGAUCUCCUGAAGCAGACAGCUCAGCAAUCGGAGAUAAAGGUAACUGCAAAUACAAGCGAUGGUAUCCCGGCGACGCAUCACACGGUGGUCGACCAGCAUGGUGGAAUAAGGUGUUGUGUUGUGGUUAUGGGAUUGGCUGCUUGUUAUGUCCUUGUGGGAGCUUGACUUGUCGGCAUGAACGCAGUUAGGGGUCAGUAAAAGUUUGAAGUUCGGACAACUGUCUUACGAAUAAGACUUAAAUAGGACCGUAGUAUGUACAUCUUAA
rnacentral:sRNA from 1 species